UGCAUUUUAUUUUCUUGAUCAAAAGAGAGGCCCCCCUCUCCGAUUUCACUAAGAGAAACCAAGGUUCACAGCUACUACUAGGGUUUUUGUUACCCCGCACACGACAUACUAUCUUACAUGACCGGGGAUUACGACGAACCCCAGCCCAGCACCUCAAAAGGAUCGUGCAAGAUCUGAAAAUGAAAGCAGAGCACCCACACAACACUUCAGACACAGCAUACAGUAGUUGGAAGCAAAGCCUAGCACAUCAUAGCUAAAGCAAGAACUAGAUAACGGCUGAGGCAGCAGCAACGACGAAGAAGGUAAGCCACUGGGAAGACGAUCGGGACCUCAGCGCAUGCUCAUACAUGAUCAAGCAUCGACGGAUGCAAUGUUGGUGGCAUCGUUGCAGAACCGGCCGCACGCAUCGCCGCAGCGCCCCACGCCGACUUUCGUGUCUUCGCCAAGCUCAGCUGAUGACAAGAUCAAGAUAUGUGCAAUGCUCAUUCCAAACCGAAAAAAAAACUUUUCCCUCUUAUGAUAAAUUGAAAGUUAUAUAUACAGAUGAUGAGUUAAUUCAGAUACUACCUGAAUUGACGUUGUCACAGACUGAGAGCCUACAUCCUAAUUUGCAGUACUCAAUGGCGUCUGGUUCUUCUUCCGCAACAGCAGGAGCAAGCAUUAGUCAACCAGCCGUUAAUUGCAAUUUCUAUGCAUCUGGGAGCAAAAUGAUGUAGAGAAAACAGGAAGGGUGGCUUGGGUUCACGUACCAGCUGAACCGGGGAGAAGGUUGAGCUUAGGGUAUUCCCUGGGGCAUGUGCUGUCCCUUGUGAGCACACAGCCACACAUUUUUGAGCAGGGAGUACUNNNNNNNNNNNNNNNNNNNNNNNNNNNNNNNNNNNNNNNNNNNNNNNNNNNNNNNNNNNNNNNNNNNNNNNNNNNNNNNNNNNNNNNNNNNNNNNNNNNNGGGGCUGUGCUCGCAGCCUUGUCCACGGCCAGGCGAUGAACCUAUGGAUGCAGGAAAACGCCCACACCGGCGUACACGCCCGGAAAGACCGAGGCGUAGCUGGCCUUGCCCGCAGCCGGCAUGACCAAGACCUGGCCGGCCUUGCCCGCGGCCGUUGCCGGCUUUGUGGCCGAUGUAGAAACAUAUAAUAAGUUCAGGCAAUCACCGGAGCCUCUCCGGUUUACUAAAUACUACUCCCUCCCUCCGUUCACCAUUAUAGGAUGUUCUAACUUUUUUCUGAAACAGAUGUAUAUAGCCGUAUUUUAGUGUAUUUGUUCACUCAUUUCAGUCCAUAUGUAGUCCAUAUUGAAAUAUAAAAAAUAUCUUAAUAGUGAACGGAGGGAGUAGAAGAUAAGGUUUAGAAGUGCUCCUCUACUGAGUAUGAACGAAGUAAAUUAUGGAACUCGCGGCGGAUCUUCCUCAAGUAUGUACAGAUAUAAAUAAAAGAUUGACGUGGGAUCUCAGUGCAUUUUAUUUUCUUGAUCAAAAGAGAGGCCCCCCUCUCCGAUUUCACUAAGAGAAACCAAGGUUCACAGCUACUACUAGGGUUUUUGUUACCCCGCACACGACAUACUAUCUUACAUGACCGGGGAUUACGACGAACCCCAGCCCAACACCUCAAAAGGAUCGUGCAAGAUCUCAAAAUAAAAGCAGAGCACCCACACAACACUUCAGACACAGCAUACAGUAGUUGGAAGCAAAGCCUAGCACAUCAUAGCUAAAGCAAGAACUAGAUAAUGGCUGAGGCAGCAGCAACGACGAAGAAGGUAAGCCACUGGGAAGACGAUCGGGACCUCAGCGCAUGCUCAUACAUGAUCAAGCAUCGACGGAUGCAAUGUUGGUGGCAUCGUUGCAGAACCGGCCGCACGCAUCGCCGCAGCGCCCCACGCCGACUUUCGUGUCUUCGCCAAGCUCAGCUGAUGACAAGAUCAAGAUAUGUGCAAUGCUCAUUCCAAACCGAAAAAAAAACUUUUCCCUCUUAUGAUAAAUUGAAAGUUAUAUAUACAGAUGAUGAGUUAAUUCAGAUACUACCUGAAUUGACGUUGUCACAGACUGAGAGCCUACAUCCUAAUUUGCAGUACUCAAUGGCGUCUGGUUCUUCUUCCGCAACAGCAGGAGCAAGCAUUAGUCAACCAGCCGUUAAUUGCAAUUUCUAUGCAUCUGGGAGCAAAAUGAUGUAGAGAAAACAGGAAGGGUGGCUUGGGUUCACGUACCAGCUGAACCGGGGAGAAGGUUGAGCUUAGGGUAUUCCCUGGGGCAUGUGCUGUCCCUUGUGAGCACACAGCCACACAUUUUUGAGCAGGGAGUACUUGGGUGCACAAGAAGGCACACGUUGUAACAGUUUCUUGACCUGGUGUCUCUGCAGCAGCUCUUGCCCUCUGCUACUUGGAUUUGUCCCUGGACAAGCAGUCCCAGUAUCAGUAUGAGUGCACACAUGAUCACGCUCUUGAAAUGCUUGCUCUCCAUGGCUGCCUUCCCUGCUGCGAAAACGCACAGGAACAAGACUCGUAUAUAUGGCCCCAAUUUAUAGGAGACGAUGCUCCGCAUGGGCAGUAAUUGUUGAGAAGUGAUAUGCAUGAAUGAGCCGUGCUCCGCUGAGAGCCACGUACACGGUUGAGAUCGUCUACAUGUGCGCUGCGUGCCCUAGGCGAUUAUGCGGUGCCCGCUAACUCCUACCUGCCUCGUGCAUUAAGUUUUCACGUGCAGCUCUUGUGCCAUGGCCGACUAGGAUGUUUUUAGGUGUAUUUUACUUUACUCUUGUGUUAUGGACAGAUACGUGGCCACUCGACCGGUUGUCAUCGUCGACGGUACCUCGCCCAGAAGAUGCCUACUCUCCAUCCUCAUUAGCUUCCGUGUUCUUCUUCUUUUUUCUUUUCUCUUAUUUAUUUUUCAAGAAAACUUCCGAUAUAUUCAUCUGCAAUCAUGGCACUACAACAAACAUCUUAAAUAAUAAAAAUUAUAUCCAGAUCCGUAGACCACCUAGCGACGACUACAAGCAUUGAAGCGAGCUGAAGACGCGCCGCCGUCAUUGCCCCUCCCUUGCAGGAGCUGGACAAAACUUGUUCUAGUAGACAGUCGAAAAAUCGUCGUACUAAGGAAACCGCCGCCGAUGAAGAGAGUAGUGUAGAUCGAAAGAAUUCAAUCUGAAAACACAUGAACAUAGACGAACUAUGAUCAGAUCCGAGCAUAUCCAGCAAGAACAGAUCCGCCGGAGACACACCUCCACAUGCCCAUCGAUGAUGCUAGACACACCAUCGGGAGGGCAGGCUGGGAGAACCUUAUUCCAUCUUCAGGGAGCUGUUGUCAUCUCGUCUUCUUGAAUAGGACACAAACUCUAACAAAAUACGAAGGAACAACUGAAAACAAAGCCCUUCCCCGACAAGGGCCGAGAUCCACCACACCACCAUGGCCCUAAAACCAUCGCAGACGACACGUACCGACGGCAGUACCAGCAGGAGGUGGGGGAACCCUAGACCAGCAAUUUUGUGGCCCAAGUUAGCACCUAGGAAAAAUUCUUCUUCUACUACUUCUUCUCUCUUAGGCUGCCCGUAAUGGAAGUAUCAUACUCCCUCCGUCCGGGUUUAUUGGGCCCCUGGGCGGAGGGAGCUCGUCCGCUCUUAUUAGGCCCCUUAAUCGAUAUGGCUGCCAAAAGCAGAAAACGCUUCGUUGCUUUCUCGAUCUCCUCAGCCGCGGUUCAUCUUCCGAAGCGCAUUAAAUUUCCAUCCGCUGGCAUGCAGAAGAAGCUGCUAUACAUUGAGCGGACUAGUACUCCUAGCACAACGCCACAACAGUAGUCCCAGGAAAGAAACCAGCGUCUCGCCGGCCGGAUGCAGCGCUGUACCAGCAAUGUCGUCGCGACCGAAGGCGGAGCACAGCGUCGACGUUGAUCCGGACGCGGAGACCCAGUCCGGGCUGGGCUUGGACGCGUCGCCGACCAACCUCGCCGCUGCUGGGCACGCAGAGCUCGGUGUCCAUGGUGCGUCGCUGGCGGAGCACAGCGUGGACGUCGAUCCGGACGCGGAGACCCAGUCCGGGCUGGGCUUAGGCGCGCCACUGCCAGACCUCGUCGCUGCUGGGCACGCAGACCUCGGCGUCCAUGAUGCGCCGCAGGCCGAGCACGACAUGAAGGUCGCUCCCGACGCGGAGACCCAGGCGGAGCUGGGCUUGGGCGUCCAGGACAUGCAGGUAUGUAUGCAUGCCUUAUCCAGGGAUCAUGGUGAUGUUUAGUCGGUGCAGUUAGGCCGGCCAUGGUACUUAGCUUUUGUAGGAUGAAUAGCAAACGAUGCAUGCUCCACCCUUGUCUUUACAUGAUGGCUACAUGCAGGGCGGCGUGCUGGACGUGGGGCAGGGCAUCCUCGCGCAUGCCCACGACGUGCUCGACGUCGCGCAGGGCAUCCUCGCGCUCGCCCAGGAGGGUCCAUACCUUGGGGCGCUGCUGGACCAGGUGGAGGCUCUCAUGGACACCGUCACGGCGCUCGUCGACGACGCCACGGCAUUGGUGAACCAGCGACCGGGUGUGCUCGGCAGGGAGGAGGGAUUCGUGGUGCCAAGGAGGACUGGAUUCGGACUGAAGAGAGUUGAACACGCCAAGAUCUAGGGCGUUAGUGUCCGGAGAAUUAGGUGGCUGCAUCACAACCCUAAUGUCCCAACCACCUUGAGCAGCUGCCGCACACACCGCCGGAUCAUCUGGUCGAACAUGUGUCUUGCCAUUGUCCUGUUGGAUGAAAAUAGGCUUGUACCGAUCCUCUUGCGGCCACUUCUCCUUGAUUGCCGGCAACACCUUCGUGAUCAAGUAUUCCCGGCUCUUCUCCAUGCCGACUUUAUCGCAUGGCUUGAGCUCCAACGUUCCUCUAGGCCUGUUUGGGCUUCUCCUCUGUGAUGGUUUCCACUCAACAUAGGGCCAAAUUCCAAUUUUACCAUCAAAAGUACAAUUGCCUUGCAUAUCAUAUCUUGGCCUAGCAACAGUAGCAAGAACCAUGAUCUUCUCAAUGUGUCCCUUGUUUUUGGCGUGCCUCACGGGGUUCGGCUCGUUAAUGCCCAAAUAAACCCCCUGGGUUUUCCUUGUACGAUAAAACCACUUUUCAUCAAUAUGGACCACAUUAAACGAAUCCUUGAAGACAGGGUUCUCCGGCAUACUAGCGGGUUCUAGGUUUGAAAGGCAAUACAUGACACGAGCUUUCUUGUUUUCUUCCGCUAGCAUAGGCUUGAGCUCGUUGGUGUGUUUGCGUAACUCAUGCUCCUUCAAAAGCCUGUGAACGGUGGUCUUCGCCAUGUUCAAUGCACCGGCAACAUCUCUAAUUGUUGUUCGAUCAUUCGGAGGGACGGCGGCUAAAGCAUCUGAGUCCAAUGUAACACGCUUUCUACCAACUCUGCCCGGCCGCUUGUUGAUAACCGCAUUCACACCACCUCCUCUCCUACCAUUAUCCCAUAUCCGCCGAAGAACCCUAACUGACACUUUAUAUAGAGCUGAUAUUUUCUUAGUCACCCCACGUUUCAAUGGACCACGUCCAUUUAUCUCCAAAAUGGCCGUAUACAGUGAACGCUUUUCGUCAUCAGUAUGAAAUGUCCUUCUUUUCCUAUUGGCCAUCACAUCUGGGAACAAACAUAAGAGUAGAAUUUUGUUAAACAACAAGUGUGAAAAUAAGUGUUCAUACAUCUGGGAACAAAUAUAAACAAUAUAAAAAAAUACCUAUUGCUCAUUCUGUAAAGUUGCAGGAAAUAUACAUGUGCAAAAUCCAUCUAUGAAACCGAUAAAAAAAUAUACGCACUGUUCCAUUGCAUAUUCGAACUAAAAAAUAAGUGUUCAUACACAAAGCAAGCAAACCUACUUAGAUCGAUGAUGUUGUUGGUCUCAUGAUCUUCAGCGUUCUGGUCCGUGCCGUCUCCUUCUUCCUCGACGUGCUGGUCCAUGCCAUGUCCGUGCUCCUCGCCGUGCUGGUCCAUGCCGUGGUCGUCCUCGCCGUGCUGGUCCAUGUCGUGGCCGUCCUGGCCGUGCUGGUCCGUACCCUGGCCAUCUUCCUCGCCGUUCUGGUCCGUGCCGUGGCCUUCUUCCUCGACGUGCUGGUCCAUGUCGUGGCCGCCGUACGCGCCGCCAUCGUGAGAACGGAAGGCGCCGCCGUCGUGGGCACCGUACGCGCCGCUGUCGUGUGCAUAGUACGCGCCACCGUCGUGGGCACCGUAUGCGCCGCUGUCGUGUGCACAGUACGCGCCGCCGUCGUGGGCAUCGUACGCGCCGCCGUCGUGUGCACAGUACGCGCCGCCGUCUUCGUGCCUUGUGAACCAACGACUGCCCCGCCAGCCGGACAUACUACCAUUGGAGGAGCUCGCCACCGACGGCAACCGACCAGCAAGACCGAGACGAAGAUGGCGUUCAGCGCCGGACGAGCUACCUAUGUCGCGAACGGCAGCGUGUCCUCCCCCGAGGAGCGCGGGGCUGUGCUCGCAGCCUUGUCCACGGCCAGGCGAUGAACCUAUGGAUGCAGGAAAACGCCCACACCGGCGUACACGCCCGGAAAGACCGAGGCGUAGCUGGCCUUGCCCGCAGCCGGCAUGACCAAGACCUGGCCGGCCUUGCCCGCGGCCGUUGCCGGCUUUGUGGCCGAUGUAGAAACAUAUAAUAAGUUCAGGCAAUCACCGGAGCCUCUCCGGUUUACUAAAUACUACUCCCUCCCUCCGUUCACCAUUAUAGGAUGUUCUAACUUUUUUCUGAAACAGAUGUAUAUAGCCGUAUUUUAGUGUAUUUGUUCACUCAUUUCAGUCCAUAUGUAGUCCAUAUUGAAAUAUAAAAAAUAUCUUAAUAGUGAACGGAGGGAGUAGAAGAUAAGGUUUAGAAGUGCUCCUCUACUGCGUAUGAACGAAGUAAAUUAUGGAACUCGCGGCGGAUCUUCCUCAAGUAUGUACAGAUAUAAAUAAAAGAUUGACGUGGGAUCUCGGUGCAUUUUAUUUUCUUGAUCAAAAGAGAGGCCCCCCUCUCCGAUUUCACUAAGAGAAACCAAGGUUCACAGCUACUACUAGGGUUUUUGUUACCCCGCACACGACAUACUAUCUUACAUGACCGGGGAUUACGACGAACCCCAGCCCAGCACCUCAAAAGGAUCGUGCAAGAUCUGAAAAUAAAAGCAGAGCACCCACACAACACUUCAGACACAGCAUACAGUAGUUGGAAGCAAAGCCUAGCACAUCAUAGCUAAAGCAAGAACUAGAUAACGGCUGAGACAGCAGCAACGACGAAGAAGGUAAGCCACUGGGAAGACGAUCGGGACCUCAGCGCAUGCUCAUACAUGAUCAAGCAUCGACGGAUGCAAUGUUGGUGGCAUCGUUGCAGAACCGGCCGCACGCAUCGCCGCAGCGCCCCACGCCGACUUUCGUGUCUUCGCCAAGCUCAGCUGAUGACAAGAUCAAGAUAUGUGCAAUGCUCAUUCCAAACCGAAAAAAAAACUUUUCCCUCUUAUGAUAAAUUGAAAGUUAUAUAUACAGAUGAUGAGUUAAUUCAGAUACUACCUGAAUUGACGUUGUCACAGACUGAGAGCCUACAUCCUAAUUUGCAGUACUCAAUGGCGUCUGGUUCUUCUUCCGCAACAGCAGGAGCAAGCAUUAGUCAACCAGCCGUUAAUUGCAAUUUCUAUGCAUCUGGGAGCAAAAUGAUGUAGAGAAAACAGGAAGGGUGGCUUGGGUUCACGUACCAGCUGAACCGGGGAGAAGGUUGAGCUUAGGGUAUUCCCUGGGGCAUGUGCUGUCCCUUGUGAGCACACAGCCACACAUUUUUGAGCAGGGAGUACUGGGGUGCACAAGAAGGCACACGUUGUAACAGUUUCUUGACCUGGUGUCUCUGCAGCAGCUCUUGCCCUCUGCUACUUGGAUUUGUCCCUGGACAAGCAGUCCCAGUAUCAGUAUGAGUGCACACAUGAUCACGCUCUUGAAAUGCUUGCUCUCCAUGGCUGCCUUCCCUGCUGCGAAAACGCACAGGAACAAGACUCGUAUAUAUGGCCCCAAUUUAUAGGAGACGAUGCUCCGCAUGGGCAGUAAUUGUUGAGAAGUGAUAUGCAUGAAUGAGCCGUGCUCCGCUGAGAGCCACGUACACGGUUGAGAUCGUCUACGUGUGCGCUGCGUGCCCUAGGCGAUUAUGCGGUGCCCGCUAACUCCUACCUGCCUCGUGCAUUAAGUUUUCACGUGCAGCUCUUGUGCCAUGGCCGACUAGGAUGUUUUUAGGUGUAUUUUACUUUACUCUUGUGUUAUGGACAGAUACGUGGCCACUCGACCGGUUGUCCUCGUCGACGGUACCUCGCCCAGAAGAUGCCUACUCUCCAUCCUCAUUAGCUUCCGUGUUCUUCUUCUUUUUUCUUUUCUCUUAUUUAUUUUUCAAGAAAACUUCCGAUAUAUUCAUCUGCAAUCAUGGCACUACAACAAACAUCUUAAAUAAUAAAAAUUAUAUCCAGAUCCGUAGACCACCUAGCGACGACUACAAGCAUUGAAGCGAGCUGAAGACGCGCCGCCGUCAUUGCCCCUCCCUUGCAGGAGCUGGACAAAACUUGUUCUAGUAGACAGUCGAAAAAUCGUCGUACUAAGGCAACCGCCGCCGAUGAAGAGAGUAGUGUAGAUCGAAAGAAUUCAAUCUGAAAACACAUGAACAUAGACGAACUAUGAUCAGAUCCGAGCAUAUCCAGCAAGAACAGAUCCGCCGGAGACACACCUCCACAUGCCCAUCGAUGAUGCUAGACACACCAUCGGGAGGGCAGGCUGGGAGAACCUUAUUCCAUCUUCAGGGAGCUGUUGUCGUCUCGUCUUCUUGAAUAGGACACAAACUCUAACAAAAUACGAAGGAACAACUGAAAACAAAGCCCUUCCCCAACAAGGGCCGAGAUCCACCACACCACCAUGGCCCUAAAACCAUCGCAGACGACAUGUACCGACGACAGUACCAGCAGGAGGUGGGGGAACCCUAGACCAGCAAUUUUGUGGCCCAAGUUAGCACCUAGGAAAAAUUCUUCUUCUACUACUUCUUCUCUCUUAGGCUGCCCGUAAUGGAAGUAUCAUACUCCCUCCGUCCGGGUUUAUUGGGCCCCUGGGCGGAGGGAGCUCGUCCGCUCUUAUUAGGCCCCUUAAUCGAUAUGGCUGCCAAAAGCAGAAAAUGCUUCGUUGCUUUCUCGAUCUCCUCAGCCGCGGUUCAUCUUCCGAAGCGCAUUAAAUUUCCAUCCGCUGGCAUGCAGAAGAAGCUGCUAUACAUUGAGCGGACUAGUACUCCUAGCACAACGCCACAACAGUAGUCCCAGGAAAGAAACCAGCGUCUCGCCGGCCGGAUGCAGCGAUGUACCAGCAAUGUCGUCGCGACCGAAGGCGGAGCACAGCGUCGACGUUGAUCCGGACGCGGAGACCCAGUCCGGGCUGGGCUUGGACGCGUCGCCGACCAACCUCGCCGCUGCUGGGCACGCAGAGCUCGGUGUCCAUGGUGCGUCGCUGGCGGAGCACAGCGUGGACGUCGAUCCGGACGCGGAGACCCAGUCCGGGCUGGGCUUAGGCGCGCCACUGCCAGACCUCGUCGCUGCUGGGCACGCAGACCUCGGCGUCCAUGAUGCGCCGCAGGCCGAGCACGACAUGAAGGUCGCUCCCGACGCGGAGACCCAGGCGGAGCUGGGCUUGGGCGUCCAGGACAUGCAGGUAUGUAUGCAUGCCUUAUCCAGGGAUCAUGGUGAUGUUUAGUCGGUGCAGUUAGGCCGGCCAUGGUACUUAGCUUUUGUAGGAUGAAUAGCAAACGAUGCAUGCUCCACCCUUGUCUUUACAUGAUGGCUACAUGCAGGGCGGCGUGCUGGACGUGGGGCAGGGCAUCCUCGCGCAUGCCCACGACGUGCUCGACGUCGCGUAGGGCAUCCUCGCGCUCGCCCAGGAGGGUCCAGACCUUGGGGCGCUGCUGGACCAGGUGGAGGCUCUCAUGGACACCGUCACGGCGCUCGUCGACGACGCCACGGCAUUGGUGAACCAGCGACCGGGUGUGCUCGGCAGGGAGGAGGGAUUCGUGGUGCCAAGGAGGACUGCAUUCGGACUGAAGAGAGUUGAACACGCCAAGAUCUAGGGCGUUAGUGUCCGGAGAAUUAGGUGGCUGCAUCACAACCCUAAUGUCCCAACCACCUUGAGCAGCUGCCGCACACACCGCCGGAUCAUCUGGUCGAACAUGUGUCUUGGCAUUGUCCUGUUGGAUGAAAAUAGGCUUGUACCGAUCCUCUUGCGGCCACUUCUCCUUGAUUGCCGGCAACACCUUCGUGAUCAAGUAUUCCCGGCUCUUCUCCAUGCCGACUUUAUCGCAUGGCUUGAGCUCCAACGUUCCUCUAGGCCUGUUUGGGCUUCUCCUCUGUGAUGGUUUCCACUCAACAUAGGGCCAAAUUCCAAUUUUACCAUCAAAAGUACAAUUGCCUUGCAUAUCAUAUCUUGGCCUAGCAACAGCAGCAAGAAACAUGAUCUUCUCAAUGUGUCCCUUGUUUUUGGCGUGCCUCACGGGGUUCGGCUCGUUAAUGCCCAAAUAAACCCCCUGGGUUUUCCUUGUACGAUAAAACCACUUUUCAUCAAUAUGGACCACAUUAAACGAAUCCUUGAAGACAGGGUUCUCCGGCAUACUAGCGGGUUCUAGGUUUGAAAGGCAAUACAUGACACGAGCUUUCUUGUUUUCUUCCGCUAGCAUAGGCUUGAGCUCGUUGGUGUGUUUGCGUAACUCAUGCUCCUUCAAAAGCCUGUGAACGGUGGUCUUCGCCAUGUUCAAUGCACCGGCAACAUCUCUAAUUGUUGUUCGAUCAUUCGGAGGGACGGCGGCUAAAGCAUCUGAGUCCAAUGUAACACGCUUUCUACCAACUCUGCCCGGCCGCUUGUUGAUAACCGCAUUCACACCACCUCCUCUCCUACCAUUAUCCCAUAUCCGCCGAAGAACCCUAACUGACACUUUAUAUAGAGCUGAUAUUUUCUUAGUCACCCCACGUUUCAAUGGACCACGUCCAUUUAUCUCCAAAAUGGCCGUAUACAGUGAACGCUUUUCGUCAUCAGUAUGAAAUGUCCUUCUUUUCCUAUUGGCCAUCACAUCUGGGAACAAACAUAAGAGUAGAAUUUUGUUAAACAACAAGUGUGAAAAUAAGUGUUCAUACAUCUGGGAACAAAUAUAAACAUUAUAAAAAAAUACCUAUUGCUCAUUCUGUAAAGUUGCAGGAAAUAUACAUGUGCAAAAUCCAUCUAUGAAACCGAUAAAAAAAUAUACGUACUGUUCCAUUGCAUAUUCGAACUAAAAAAUAAGUGUUCAUACACAAAGCAAGCAAACCUACUUAGAUCGAUGAUGUUGUUGGUCUCAUGAUCUUCAGCGUUCUGGUCCGUGCCGUCUCCUUCUUCCUCGACGUGCUGGUCCAUGCCAUGUCCGUGCUCCUCGCCGUGCUGGUCCAUGCCGUGGUCGUCCUCGCCGUGCUGGUCCAUGUCGUGGCCGUCCUGGCCGUGCUGGUCCGUACCCUGGCCAUCUUCCUCGCCGUUCUGGUCCGUGCCGUGGCCUUCUUCCUCGACGUGCUGGUCCAUGUCGUGGCCGCCGUACGCGCCGCCAUCGUGAGAACGGAAGGCGCCGCCGUCGUGGGCACCGUACGCGCCGCUGUCGUGUGCAUAGUACGCGCCACCGUCGUGGGCACCGUAUGCGCCGCUGUCGUGUGCACAGUACGCGCCGCCGUCGUGGGCAUCGUACGCGCCGCCGUCGUGUGCACAGUACGCGCCGCCGUCUUCGUGCCUUGUGAACCAACGACUGCCCCGCCAGCCGGACAUACUACCACUGGAGGAGCUCGCCACCGACGGCAACCGACCAGCAAGACCGAGACGAAGAUGGCGUUCAGCGCCGGACGAGCUACCUAUGUCGCGAACGGCAGCGUGUCCUCCCCCGAGGAGCGCGGGGCUGUGCUCGCAGCCUUGUCCACGGCCAGGCGAUGAACCUAUGGAUGCAGGAAAACGCCCACACCGGCGUACACGCCCGGAAAGACCGAGGCGUAGCUGGCCUUGCCCGCAGCCGGCAUGACCAAGACCUGGCCGGCCUUGCCCGCGGCCGUUGCCGGCUUUGUGGCCGAUGUAGAAACAUAUAAUAAGUUCAGGCAAUCACCGGAGCCUCUCCGGUUUACUAAAUACUACUCCCUCCCUCCGUUCACCAUUAUAGGAUGUUCUAACUUUUUUCUGAAACAGAUGUAUAUAGCCGUAUUUUAGUGUAUUUGUUCACUCAUUUCAGUCCAUAUGUAGUCCAUAUUGAAAUAUAAAAAAUAUCUUAAUAGUGAACGGAGGGAGUAGAAGAUAAGGUUUAGAAGUGCUCCUCUACUGAGUAUGAACGAAGUAAAUUAUGGAACUCGCGGCGGAUCUUCCUCAAGUAUGUACAGAUAUAAAUAAAAGAUUGACGUGGGAUCUCAGUGCAUUUUAUUUUCUUGAUCAAAAGAGAGGCCCCCCUCUCCGAUUUCACUAAGAGAAACCAAGGUUCACAGCUACUACUAGGGUUUUUGUUACCCCGCACACGACAUACUAUCUUACAUGACCGGGGAUUACGACGAACCCCAGCCCAGCACCUCAAAAGGAUCGUGCAAGAUCUCAAAAUAAAAGCAGAGCACCCACACAACACUUCAGACACAGCAUACAGUAGUUGGAAGCAAAGCCUAGCACAUCAUAGCUAAAGCAAGAACUAGAUAACGGCUGAGGCAGCAGCAACGACGAAGAAGGUAAGCCACUGGGAAGACGAUCGGGACCUCAGCGCAUGCUCAUACAUGAUCAAGCAUCGACGGAUG
rnacentral:lncRNA from 1 species